UACGUAGGUGGCGAGCGUUGUCCGGAAUUAUUGGGCGUAAAGCGCGCGCAGGUGGGAUCUUAAGUCUGUUCUCAAAGUUCGGAGCUCAACUCCGUGAUGGGAUGGAAACUGGGAUUCUUGAGUAUCGGAGAGGAAAGCGGAAUUCCCCGUGUAGCGGUGAAAUGCGUAGAUAUGGGAGGAACACCAGUGGCGAAGGCGGCUUUCUGGACGAUGUCUGACACUGAGACGCGAAAGCCAGGGGAGCGAACGGG
rnacentral:rRNA from 1 species